rnacentral:rRNA from 1 species
CCUACGGGAGGCAGCAGUAGGGAAUCUUCCGCAAUGGACGAAAGUCUGACGGAGCAACGCCGCGUGAACGAUGAAGGCCUUCGGGUCGUAAAGUUCUGUUGUUAGGGAAGAACAAGUGCUAGUUGAAUAAGCUGGCACCUUGACGGUACCUAACCAGAAAGCCACGGCUAACUACGUGCCAGCAGCCGCGGUAAUACGUAGGUGGCAAGCGUUGUCCGGAAUUAUUGGGCGUAAAGCGCGCGCAGGCGGUUUCUUAAGUCUGAUGUGAAAGCCCCCGGCUCAACCGGGGAGGGUCAUUGGAAACUGGGAAACUUGAGUGCAGAAGAGGGAAGUGGAAUUCCAAGUGUAGCGGUGAAAUGCGUAGAGAUUUGGAGGAACACCAGUGGCGAAGGCGACUUUCUGGUCUGUAACUGACGCUGAGGCGCGAAAGCGUGGGGAGCAAACAGGAUUAGAUACCCUGGUAGUCCACGCUGUAAACGAUGAGUGCUAAGUGUUAGAGGGUUUCCGCCCUUUAGUGCUGAAGUUAACGCAUUAAGCACUCCGCCUGGGGAGUACGGUCGCAAGACUGAAACUUAAGGAAUUGACGG